UGCUGCUGUUCAAUAUUUUCGAUCAAAUUCUGAUAAGUUGUGCGCUCCAAGACGUGCAAGAAAUUAAGCAGCAGACAGACGAGGCUCUAGAUAUGAGGCCUUGAUAUGCAAAUAUGUUAGCUAUAUAAGUUUGGGGUCCUUGUAUAAGCCUUCCAGAUAUUAUUUGUUAAGUAAUUGCCAUCCUCAUGUUUUUUAUUCGAGUCCUUCGUGGAAAGGAUUUUUUUUUUUUUUUGGCUCUGGUCGAUUUUGUGCAGGAAUGAUUUGACUGUAAUUGAAUUGGCUUUAGAAGAAACUUAACCCUCUCAUUGAGAUGAGUUAUCACAGCAAAUUGGAAUCUUCAAUUCUUCAUUGGAUCUUUUGCCGGUGAGUUUUAUAUUGCCCCAACUUCAACUCUUGAUCGACGCCAUUUAAUCGAGGAGCUUCACUUGGACACACUUUUCUUCUUGCACCCAUCAAUCAAGGAGUUUUGCUUGGCGUUUUUGGAGACUUUGCAUCCAUCAAUCAAGGAGUUUUGCUUGGCGCUUUUGGAGCUUUGCACCCAUCAAUCAAGGAGUUUUGCUUGACGCUUUUGGAGCUUUGCACCCAUCAAUC
rnacentral:lncRNA from 1 species